rnacentral:lncRNA from 1 species
UAACUUGUAUUUUGUGCAAAUAAUAUGAUAAAUCGAACAUCAAUCUCUUCACAUUAUUUGAUCUAAAAAUAUAUCAAUCUUCCCAAACAUGUAUUUUGUGGAGGGAAAGAGAGAGAGAGAGAGAGAGAGCGAGAGGAUGAAUUGUUGUUGUUUCCGCGGGUGCAUGGCUAGUGGCCGGGGCCUCCGGGGCUCGGCCCCGACGGCAGCCUCGCCAUCCACGCCGCCACAGCCGCUCUCGCCUUCUCGUACACGCUCGGGUGCGCCAAGUAGCUCUCUCCGUCGAAGCAGUCCGGCGCCGGCCUCGCCGCAUCAACUCCUCCCCCAGCGCCCGUCAUGACGACGGCCAUGAUCGAGACGACGAUCACCAGCAGCAUCGCGCAGGUCCUUCGACACCCCAUGCAAGCAGAACCUUCAGCUCUUCCUAACACUGUGAGGCUAUAGGUCGAGCACAAGUUUGGAUGCAUGGGAAUGGGAUCGAGGAGUAUAUAUAGACACGUAUUAGCAAAAAGUCUCACUGCAUCGAAGGCUUGGUCAGGUAUGAGUUAUUGUUGGUGUUGACCGAGCAGAAUUGACUGUCACGCUGCGAAGUUGCUCUUCCUCUGCGAGAGCCGAUGAGAUGGUGGUGACAGCUGCGUUGAAUCCGUCUGCAGCAACAAGUAGUAAAUUAAAUUAGCCAUUAGAUCUAUCAAAGGAAUUGACUAUGUAACCCCUUGAUUUAGUCUCACA